GGCUCAGGAUGAACGCUGGCGGCGUGCCUAAUACAUGCAAGUCGAGCGAACUGAUUAGAAGCUUGCUUCUAUGACGUUAGCGGCGGACGGGUGAGUAACACGUGGGCAACCUGCCUGUAAGACUGGGAUAACUUCGGGAAACCGAAGCUAAUACCGGAUAGGAUCUUCUCCUUCAUGGGAGAUGAUUGAAAGAUGGUUUCGGCUAUCACUUACAGAUGGGCCCGCGGUGCAUUAGCUAGUUGGUGAGGUAACGGCUCACCAAGGCAACGAUGCAUAGCCGACCUGAGAGGGUGAUCGGCCACACUGGGACUGAGACACGGCCCAGACUCCUACGGGAGGCAGCAGUAGGGAAUCUUCCGCAAUGGACGAAAGUCUGACGGAGCAACGCCGCGUGAGUGAUGAAGGCUUUCGGGUCGUAAAACUCUGUUGUUAGGGAAGAACAAGUACGAGAGUAACUGCUCGUACCUUGACGGUACCUAACCAGAAAGCCACGGCUAACUACGUGCCAGCAGCCGCGGUAAUACGUAGGUGGCAAGCGUUAUCCGGAAUUAUUGGGCGUAAAGCGCGCGCAGGCGGUUUCUUAAGUCUGAUGUGAAAGCCCACGGCUCAACCGUGGAGGGUCAUUGGAAACUGGGGAACUUGAGUGCAGAAGAGAAAAGCGGAAUUCCACGUGUAGCGGUGAAAUGCGUAGAGAUGUGGAGGAACACCAGUGGCGAAGGCGGCUUUUUGGUCUGUAACUGACGCUGAGGCGCGAAA
rnacentral:rRNA from 3 species